UGGAGUUCGGAUAGAUCAGACUCUUCGUUGGCCUCGUUUUUAGGUGUUUGAUCCGUGACGUUUCGUCGAAAAAUCACAAGCGCGCAUGCCGUAGGUGUUUGCCUGGUUGCAAGAUCUUGCCGAUUUCAACGUUUUUCCACCUCUUCGGUUGGCGUACGCUGAACUGGACCCUCGCAGCAAGAAUGGCACGUGGGAAUUGACACCGCGAUCGUUGAACACAUGGCUGAUCUGCCUCGAAUAACUGCAAGCCGGCGCGUGCGUAGUGCCGUGGAGAACGAUCAGAAGUCGUGGACGACAAAGAAAAAAACUUCAAAGCUGCCUCUGCGAACCCCGCUCCUGGACAACAGCUGGGAGGCUCUGUGUUUAAACGCGUGCACCUUGGACGUCAUGCUCCUGCCUCUGCAAGCCCUUUUGCUGGACGCCAUGGAAGGCCCUCCACUCGAAAGUGUGCACCUUAGACUACAUGCUCAUCAAUACCAAGUUCUCUGUCCUUCUCGGCAUGAUUGUAGUGCCAUAUAAUA